UUUCCGUAGGUGAACCUGCGGAAGGAUCAUUGUCGAAACCUGCAAGACAGAACGACCCGCGAAUCGGUGAAAAAUCAUUCGGGAGAUUGCAUCCCAUCCCCUGGGACUUUCUCCCCAGAGUCCUUGGCGAAGCCGUGCUUGAAACCCACGUCCUUGGCCAGGGCUAAAUCAACGAAACCCGGGCGCGAGUUGCGCCAAGGAAAACGAAGAAGAAGGAUGAGCUCCCGUCGUCCCGGAAACGGUGCGUUGGGGGGCGACAUCGUCGUUAUCUAGUAAGAAACGACUCUCGGCAACGGAUAUCUCGGCUCUCGCAUCGAUGAAGAACGUAGCGAAAUGCGAUACUUGGUGUGAAUUGCAGAAUCCCGCGAACCAUCGAGUUUUUGAACGCAAGUUGCGCCCAAAGCCGUCAGGCUGAGGGCACGCCUGCCUGGGUGUCACGAAAAGUCGCAAUACAUCCCUCCCCUGGCCCGAGCGUAAAGGAGUGAGGGGCAGCGAGGGAUGGCGGAUGUUGGCCUCCCGUGUGCGCUCAAGCGUGCGGUUGGCCCAAAAGUCAGGUCCCCACGAGGCGGCCACGACACGCGGUGGUUGAAAGCACGUGCUCUCCUCGAACACCGUCGUGGGCUAGCCUCUUUUUUGGGGGGGGAGCCAGAGACCCCGACGCGGAGCGUCAUCACGAGGCGACCCCAGGUCAGGCGGGGACACCCGCUGAGUUU
rnacentral:rRNA from 1 species